rnacentral:rRNA from 1 species
AUGGCAGCUAGCUGGUGCUACUGCCUACUAGUAGAGCAUACGCACACACGACACACCCUCCUGCCUGCCAUUACAAACCACCCACCAUUUUCGUACACCACGCGAGAUCAGGGCACCCGGCCCAGGCCAGCCUCCCCCAGCUCCACCACGGGACCAAGAAGCUCGAGGGCAGCCAUGGCCGGCGCCUCCGCCAGCAGCACCCGCAAGGGCGGCAUCAAGGCCUACUGGAAGCACCGCGGGUACGACCGCCUGGACGCGGCCGCCGCGCAGCGCCGCCCGGCCCUCGCCACGGCCGAGCUCGGCGCCGGGGGCGGGGCGGCGACCGCGACCGCGGGCCGUCGGCGCGGGUGGCGCGUGCGGCGCCGCGGCCUCGGGCGGCGCCUUCUGCGCGCGCUCUCGCCGCGGCGGCUGCUCUCGCGGCUCCGGGACGCGUACGUGAGCGCCAUGCUCCGGCUCGCGUCCUCCGCCGCCGUGGGCUACGGGAGCGCUCCCUUCUGCGCCGCCCCCGAGCCCUUCGCGCGGCCGCGGCCGCUCAAGGAGUACGAGGAGAAGGUGCUGGUGGAGAUGUACCGCUCCAUCCUGGCCCGCGGCGGCGUCAUCCCUCUCUCCGGCGACGCCUCCCUGGUGGUCAGCCCCGCCCCGCUGCCGGCCACGGCCACCGUGGCCUGA